rnacentral:rRNA from 1 species
UGCCUUAGUAACGGCGAGUGAAGCGGCAAUAGCUCAAAUUUGAAAGCUGGCCCCUUCGGGGUCCGCGUUGUAAUUUGUAGAGGAUGAUUCGGCGAGGGCUCCCGUCUAAGUCCCUUGGAACAGGGCGUCAUAGAGGGUGAGAAUCCCGUAUGUGAUGGGCUGCCUUAGCCAUGUGAAUCUCCUUCGACGAGUCGAGUUGUUUGGGAAUGCAGCUCUAAAUGGGAGGUAAAUUUCUUCUAAAGCUAAAUACCGGCCAGAGACCGAUAGCGCACAAGUAGAGUGAUCGAAAGAUGAAAAGCACUUUGGAAAGAGAGUUAAAAAGUACGUGAAAUUGUUGAAAGGGAAGCGCUUGCAGCCAGACUUGUCCGCAGUUGCUCAGCUUGUCUCCUGACAGGCGUACUCUUCUGCGGCCAGGCCAGCAUCAGUUCGGGCGGUCGGAUAAAGACCUGGGGAAUGUAGCUCCUCUCGGGGAGUGUUAUAGCCCUGGGUGCAAUGCGGCCAGCCUGGACUGAGGAUCUCGCUUCGGCUAGGAUGCUGGCGUAAUGGCUGUAAGCGGCCCGUCUUGAAACACGGACCAAGGAGUCUAACAUCUAUGCGAGUGUUUGGGUGUCAAACCCAUGCGCGUAAUGAAAGUGAACGGAGGUGGGAACCCUCACGGGUGCACCAUCGACCGAUCCUGAUGUCUUCGGAUGGAUUUGAGUAAGAGCAUAGCUGUUGGGACCCGAAAGAUGGUGAACUAUGCCUGAAUAGGGUGAAGCCAGAGGAAACUCUGGUGGAGGCUCGCAGCGGUUCUGACGCGCAAAUCGAUCGUCAAAUUUGGGUAUAGGGGCGAAAGACUAAUCGAACCAUCUAG